rnacentral:rRNA from 1 species
AUUGAACGCUGGCGGCAGGCCUAACACAUGCAAGUCGAGCGGUAGAGAGAAGCUUGCUUCUCUUGAGAGCGGCGGACGGGUGAGUAAUGCCUAGGAAUCUGCCUGGUAGUGGAGGAUAACGUUCGGAAACGGACGCUAAUACCGCAUACGUCCUACGGGAGAAAGCAGGGGACCUUCGGGCCUUGCGCUAUCAGAUGAGCCUAGGUCGGAUUAGCUAGUUGGUGAGGUAAUGGCUCACCAAGGCGACGAUCCGUAACUGGUCUGAGAGGAUGAUCAGUCACACUGGAACUGAGACACGGUCCAGACUCCUACGGGAGGCAGCAGUGGGGAAUAUUGGACAAUGGGCGAAAGCCUGAUCCAGCCAUGCCGCGUGUGUGAAGAAGGUCUUCGGAUUGUAAAGCACUUUAAGUUGGGAGGAAGGGCAUUAACCUAAUACGUUAGUGUUUUGACGUUACCGACAGAAUAAGCACCGGCUAACUCUGUGC